AGUGAACGCUGGCGGCGUGCCUAAUACAUGCAAGUCGAACGGAAUUUAAAAGAGCUUGCUCUUUUAAAUUUAGUGGCGCACGGGUGAGUAAUAUAUAGCUAAUCUGCCCCUUGCUGGAGGACAACAGUUAGAAAUGACUGCUAAUACUCCAUACUCCCUUUUACCAUAAGAUAAAUCGGGAAAGAAUUUCGGCAAGGGAUGAGACUAUAUCGUAUCAGCUAGUCGGUGGGGUAACGGCCUACCGAGGCUAUGACGCGUAACUGGUCUGAGAGGAUGAUCAGUCACAUUGGAACUGAGACACGGUCCAAACUCCUACGGGAGGCAGCAGUAGGGAAUAUUGCGCAAUGGGGGAAACCCUGACGCAGCAACGCCGCGUGGAGGAUGACACUUUUCGGAGCGUAAACU
rnacentral:rRNA from 1 species